UCGGCGAGUGGCGAACGGGUGAGUAUAGCAUCGGAACGUGCCAAGUAGUGGGGGAUAACCAAACGAAAGUUUGGCUAAUACCGCGUAAGCUCUAAGGAGGAAAGUAGGGGACCUAAAUAAGGCCUUACGCUAUUUGAUCGGCCGAUGUCGGAUUAGCUAGUUGGUGGGGUAAUGGCUCACCAAGGCAAUGAUCCGUAGCGGGUCUGAGAGGACGAUCCGCCACACUGGGACUGAGACACGGCCCAGACUCC
rnacentral:rRNA from 1 species